rnacentral:rRNA from 1 species
UACGAAGGGGGCUAGCGUUGUUCGGAAUCACUGGGCGUAAAGCGCAUGCAGGCGGAUCGAUAAGUCGGGGGUGAAAUCCCGAGGCUCAACCUCGGAACUGCCUUCGAUACUGCCGAUCUGGAGUCCGGGAGAGGUGAGUGGAACUGCGAGUGUAGAGGUGAAAUUCGUAGAUAUUCGCAAGAACACCAGUGGCGAAGGCGGCUCACUGGCCCGGUACUGACGCUGAGGUGCGAAAGCGUGGGGAGCAAACAGG